rnacentral:rRNA from 1 species
AGUGAACGCUGGCGGUAGGCCUAACACAUGCAAGUCGAACGGCAGCACAGUAAGAGCUUGCUCUUACGGGUGGCGAGUGGCGGACGGGUGAGGAAUACAUCGGAAUCUACUUUUUCGUGGGGGAUAACGUAGGGAAACUUACGCUAAUACCGCAUACGACCUACGGGUGAAAGCAGGGGAUCUUCGGACCUUGCGCGAUUGAAUGAGCCGAUGUCGGAUUAGCUAGUUGGCGGGGUAAAGGCCCACCAAGGCGACGAUCCGUAGCUGGUCUGAGAGGAUGGUCAGCCAGACUGGAACUGAGACACGGUCCAGACUCCUACGGGAGGCAGCAGUGGGGAAUAUUGGACAAUGGGCGAAAGCUUGAUCCAGCCAUACCGCGUGGGGGAAGAAGGCCUUCGGGUUGUAAAGCCCUUUUGUUGGGAAAGAAAAGCAGCAGGUUAAUACCCCGCUGUUCUGACGGUACCCAAAGAAUAAGCACCGGCUAACUUCGUG